CCUACGGGAGGCAGCAGUAGGGAAUAUUGCUCAAUGGGCGAAACCCUGAAGCAGCAACGCCGCGUGGAGGAUGAAGGUUUUCGGAUUGUAAACUCCUUUUGUUAGAGAAGAUAAUGACGGUAUCUAACGAAUAAGCACCGGCUAACUCCGUGCCAGCAGCCGCGGUAAUACGGAGGGUGCAAGCGUUACUCGGAAUCACUGGGCGUAAAGAGCGCGUAGGCGGGAUAGCAAGUCAGAUGUGAAAUCCUAUGGCUUAACCAUAGAACUGCAUUUGAAACUGUUAUUCUAGAGUAUGGGAGAGGUAGGUGGAAUUCGUGGUGUAGGGGUAAAAUCCGUAGAGAUCAAGAGGAACACUCAUUGCGAAGGCGACCUGCUAGAACAUAACUGACGCUGAGGUUCGAAAGCGUGGGUAGCAAACAGGAUUAGAUACCCCAGUAGUC
rnacentral:rRNA from 1 species